AACGAACGCUGGCGGCAUGCCUAACACAUGCAAGUCGAACGGGAUCCAGGCUUCGGCCUGGUGAGAGUGGCGGACGGGUGAGUAACGCGUGGGAACCUGCCCAAUGGUCUGGGAUAACCGCGGGAAACUGCGGCUAAUACCGGAUAAGCCCGAGAGGGGAAAGAUUUAUCGCCGAUGGAGGGGCCCGCGUCAGAUUAGGUAGUUGGUGGGGUAAUGGCCUACCAAGCCUACGAUCUGUAGCUGGUCUGAGAGGAUGAUCAGCCACACUGGGACUGAGAUACGGCCCAGACUCCUACGGGAGGCAGCAGUGGGGAAUAUUGGACAAUGGGGGCAACCCUGAUCCAGCAAUGCCGCGUGAGUGAUGAAGGCCUUAGGGUUGUAAGCUCUUUUGCCAGGGACGAUGAUGACGGUACCUGGAGAAUAAGCCCCGGCUAACUUCGUGCCAGCCGCCGCGGUAAU
rnacentral:rRNA from 1 species